CCAGCCACUGCACCUGCCCCUUCUCCGUUGGCUGGUGCGGCCCAGUGAAGUGGUGAGGCUUAACCCCAGCUCAGGAUGCAGGGCUGUUCUUCACGGGGCUGGCUGUGCCAGGAGCAUGGGAACAGCC
rnacentral:snoRNA from 1 species